rnacentral:sRNA from 1 species
UUAACAGCCCUGGAAACCAAAGUCCUCUUGGCACAAAACAAGUUGGGUAAAGCCAGCAGCGGUGUAAGCUUACCCAUACCAGUGUGCCCCAAUUCAGACACAAGUAAGUAGCAACCCAGAGUGGUAAGCGCUCAGUCUCCAUGCCCAUUCAGUCCUUUGUCUCU